CGGCCCAGCGUGCAGACCACUACACCACGAAGGCUCACUAGGAAAGCGGGAGAAAUACCUUAGAAUGGAGAUUCCCCAAGAUUUGAAUAUCCCUAAUAUAAUAAGUGUGAAUAAUAAGUGUCAUAUCAAGAGUUUGAAGCCGCUUUCUAAGCACUGGAUCAGUUGAUAAACACCCUGGUCAAGAGCAACAAUUGCAUCAGAAGACCAUUUUCUCUUGCCGUCUCGAAAAAACCGCCAAGAGACUACAAGAGAUUUGGUUUUAUACUUUCAGACUACCACAGGAACUGGAGUUAGCCGCUCUACUGCUGCACAAAGGCUUAACAAGGUUUGACUGUAUGAUAAAAAAACCAAUGGUUUGUGUCUCGCUCAUUCCAAUUUCCGAAGGAACCUGUUUAAACUAGUGUCUUCGUCAUCUUAAAUGAAGCCAUGACACUUUGCCGAGUAUUGUUUAAUGACGAAUCCAGAUAUAGUCUGGAAAGUGAUUCUAGACAUGUUUUGAUCUCGAGAGAGGAAAAACACGCAACUUGCCUUUCCUCCUUGUCCGUGACAUAUCCCAUUUCUGCAAACGCGAUUUAAUGGUUUGGGGAGGAAUCAUGACAAACGGCCGUAUCAAACUGCAUAUCUUUCAAGGAGGUUCUGUAGCCUCUCAGAGAUAUGUGGACGAGGUACUGGAACCCCAAGUUAGACUGUUUAGGGGCGCUGUCGGCCCAGAGUUUCUGCUAAUGGAUGACAAUGCUCGGCUUCAUCGAGCAUAUGUAGCGUCAGAAUACUGGCGAACAGAAGAUGUCACUCAAAUGGAUUGGCCUUCUAACUCAACCGACUUGAACCCGAUUGAGCAUGUGUAGAAUGCCUUAGGGCAGCGAAUUUCAGCGCUCCAAAUUCAUCCCCUAACCUCCCAGGAGUUGAAAAGUGCACUUUUAGAAGAAAUGCGUGCAAUACCAUAAGACCUGAUCAACACAUUGGUAAAGUCUAUAAAAUGAAGAUAUGAGGUAUGCAUAUCUGUCUGAGGUGACCAUAUUAAAGAGAAGAUUUUUCCACUAAACGUGACUUAACUUUUCCAUUACUUUCCAAUUUCUAUAAAUGUUGUUUUAAUUUCAAUGUUUCACGAAUAAUCAACUGGCAAACAUUUGUAAUUUAUAUUAAUUCAGAGCAAAAAAAAAAAAAAAAAAAAAUUAUGCCAACCCUACAUUUUUCAAUGAACUAGCCUGGAUGAUGUGGAGGGCACGUGAUUAAGUAGAAAUGGUAUUUAACUGCUGCUUGGAGAAGGUAACGAAUCAUUCUUGCACUUACUUUUGCGAGGGAUGGAAAGGCUGCUGAUCCAAGCAAAUUUGAUAGAGGGCAGAUUGUAGUGGCCUGAAGACCCGGAACAAGUAUUUCUGAAACUGCACGACUGGUAAGGUGUUCACGAUCUGCCGUUGUCAGUAUUUAUGCAAAGUAGAUAAAUGACGGGGAAAUCAGCUCUAGAAUCCAAGGUGUUGGAUGUCCAUGCGUUAUCAAAGAAAAAAAGGAUUACGGACACUGUUCCGCUUAGUACAGCAAACUCGUAGCCAGACAGUGACUCGGCUGAGAGCCCAAUACAAUAUAAUCCAAGUGCUAGUGUUUCGGAACACACAGUUCGUUUUCCAAGCGAACUGUUGCUCCCCUUCUGUACAGCAGGUCAUACACAGGCUGGUGUUAGUGGUAUGAUGCUGGAAGGGACGUUCUCAUGGGCGGCUCGAGAACCCUUAGUUGUAGUACAACAGCCCAUGAAAGCUGCAGAUCAGUUGCCCCCUUACAUAGAGUCUACCUUCCCAAUUAAAAAUGGAAUCUUUCAGCAGGACAACGCCCCAAGGCUCUAAUUGUGUUGGAAUGGUUCGAGGCGCAUACGGAUGAAUUCCAGUUAAUGUCCUGGCCACCUGACUCGAGGGAUCUUAACUUGAUAGAGCACAUUUGAUAUGUCAUGGAGCUGCAGCUCACAGCUCAUGUCGGAAUAUCUUGGCUUUAAGUGAUCGCUGCCUAUACAUUUGGUACACCCUGUCUUCAGUCAUCUACCAAGAACUUGUGGAUCCAUGUCAGAACGAGUUGCAGCUAUUUUGCAGGCCAAAGUUCGCCGAACACGUUAUUGGUAGUGACGAAUAUCUCUGGCCAUUUUACAUACUCUUACUCAGCGUCUGCUCCUGUAGCUUUUAAAGAGACCCCCCUUUCGCAAAAUAAUGGAAUCAGAUGAAGGUGAUGAUUACAGGCGCGUACAUAUGGUUUUAAGGAGUUUAUCGACUUUGGAAUUCAGGAGGAGGAAUUCAACUCUCUAACUUCUGAAAGAAUGGAACCUCAACCAAGUACAAGAGAG